CCAUCCCACAAACUAUAAACAUUUCACUCCAGUAGACACCGAAUGGAGGAGGUCCUCGCUCAAAGGCCUACAGUUCACAUUCAGCUGGCACGGCUUUUAAAGACAUCAAGUCCCAUCUCAGUUGGAUCAGUUGCCUGCAAUUCUACCUGAAUUCCAUCAAGUUCUCUCUUAAAUCUGUCUUUGGAGCUAGCGUAAAUCAUCUUGCUUCUCACCCUUGAUGUAUCAGGAGACCAUGCUAUGAAGAAAAUUCUGCUCUUUUGGCAAUUUUCUUCUGUGACAAAAUCAAAAUCAUAAACAGCAUAUCGGCACUCAUCAGCAGGA
rnacentral:misc_RNA from 1 species